GAUGAACGCUGGCGGCGUGCCUAAUACAUGCAAGUCGAGCGAACGGACGAGAAGCUUGCUUUUCUGAUGUUAGCGGCGGACGGGUGAGUAACACGUGGAUAACCUACCUAUAAGACUGGGAUAACUUCGGGAAACCGGAGCUAAUACCGGAUAAUAUUUUGAACCGCAUGGUUCAAAAGUGAAAGACGGGCUUGCUGUCCCUUAUAGAUGGAUCCGCGCUGCAUUGGCUAGUUGGUAAGGUAACGGCUUACCAAGGCAACGAUGCAUAGCCGACCUGAGAGGGUGAUCGGCCACACUGGAACUGAGCCACGGUCACGAGUCCUACGGGAGGCCGCAGUAGGGAAUCUUCCGCAAUAGGCGAAAGCCUGACGGAGCAACGCCGCGUGAGUGAUGAAGGUCUUCGGAUCGUAAAGCUCUGUUAUUAGGGAAGAACAUAUGUGUAAGUAACUGUGCACAUCUUGACGGUACCUAAUCAGAAAGCAACGGCUAACUACGUG
rnacentral:rRNA from 1 species